UCGGUCUGGCGGCGAGUGGCGAACGGGUGAGUAAUGUAUCGGAACGUGCCUAGUAGCGGGGGAUAACUACUCGAAAGAGUAGCUAAUACCGCAUACGCCCUACGGGGGAAAGGGGGGGAUCGCAAGACCUCUCACUAUUAGAGCGGCCGAUAUCGGAUUAGCUAGUUGGUGAGGUAAAGGCUCACCAAGGCGACGAUCCGUAGCUGGUUUGAGAGGACGACCAGCCACACUGGGACUGAGACACGGCCCAGACUCCUACGGGAGGCAGCAGUGGGGAAUUUUGGACAAUGGGGGAAACCCUGAUCCAGCCAUUCCGCGUGUGCGAUGAAGGCCUUCGGGUUGUAAAGCACUUUUGGCAGGAAAGAAAUCGCACCAAUUAAUACUUGGUGUGGAUGACGGUACCUGCAGAAUAAGCACCGGCUAACUACGUGCCAGCAGCCGCGGUAAUACGUAGGGUGCAAGCGUUAAUCGGAAUUACUGGGCGUAAAGCGUGCGCAGGCGGUUCGGAAAGAGAGGUGUGAAAUCCCAGGGCUCAACCUUGGAACUGCACUUUUAACUACCGAGCUAGAGUAUGUCAGAGGGGGGCGGAAUUCCGCGUGUAGCAGUGAAAUGCGUAGAUAUGCGGAGGAACGCCGAUGGCGAAGGCAGCCCCCUGGGAUAAUACUGACGCUCAUGCACGAAAGCGUGGGGAGCAAACAGG
rnacentral:rRNA from 1 species